ensembl:lncRNA
GUGCCUUUAAAGAGCUGCUGCCUCUAGUCAGCUCCUGUGUUGCUAAGGACAUCUUCACAGGGGAUAAUAUUCAAUAAUUCAUUAGAUGAAGUUUUCUGCCCUGAAGUUCAGGGUCUCCUCACUUUGCUCAUUGACAGGCCCAUAUUCCUCAAUAAUCACAAACUCAACCAGGGCAUGGUUGCUGCAGCCCACGUUGCCUCCAGUCUUAACCUCUUUAAUGAUCUCUGCAUUGGGAAUAAAAGUUUGAAAGCCAAGAAGGUGUGAAGAAUGCAGCAAUGAAACUGCUGUGAUCCUGGAUAAGUGCUGCACAUGGAGUUUUCCAGUUUCAACUUCUACUUGCAGAAGAAAUUUGCAGCAAUGCAGAGCAGAGCACCAUCAAGCAGCCAGGACUGUCUGCCACAGCACACUGCUGGUGUGCCUUAUUUUCAGCCAAAGCUUCAUUCCAGUCUUCAUGCAUCCUCUCCACAUUACCGAAGCCACAACACUCAAGGGCAAGAGGACAAAGACCAGCUGGGAGGAAAUCCAGUGCCACUGCUUUGGUCAAAGGCAGGAGGUGCUCUUGACUCUCACACCAUCACAUGGGUAGCAGUCCCAUGGACACUUUCUCCCAGCAUCUCCAGCUUUCCCCUCCUCUUCCUAGAAGAAAGAGUUCAAAUCCAGAUCCUUCCCUCCCUCUCCACAACACUGAGAUGGAGAGUUAGAAGCAGGC